GAUGAAGAACGUAGCGAAAUGCGAUACUUGGUGUGAAUUGCAGAAUCCCGCGAAUCAUCGAGUUUUUGAACGCAAGUUGCGCCCGAAGCCAUUAGGCCGAGGGCACGCCUGCCUGGGCGUCACACGUCGUUGCCCCCCCAUCUACUCCUUCGGGAUUGCGGGGGGCGGAUGAUGGCCUCCCGUGCGCCUCGCCGCGCGGUUGGCAUAAAUGCCAAGUCCUCGGCGACGCACGCCACGACAAUCGGUGGUUGCGAAACCUCGGUUGCCCGUCGUGUGCGGUCGUCGCGCAUCGAGGGCUCGAAAAAAUUGCCGGGUUCCGGCUCGGCUUUCAACGCGACCCCAGGUCAGGCGGGGUUACCCGCUGAAUUUAAGCAUAUCAAUAAGCGGAGGA
rnacentral:misc_RNA from 1 species